rnacentral:rRNA from 1 species
ACGGGGUGCAGCAGGCGCGAAACCUCCGCAAUGCGGGCAACCGCGACGGGGGGACCCCCAGUGCCGUGGCACAGCCACGGCUUUUCCGGAGUGUAAAAAGCUCCGGGAAUAAGGGCUGGGCAAGGCCGGUGGCAGCCGCCGCGGUAAUACCGGCGGCCCAAGUGGUGACCGCUAUUAUUGGGCCUAAAGCGUCCGUAGCCGGGCCCGUAAGUCCCUGGCGAAAUCCCACGGCUCAACCGUGGGGCUUGCUGGGGAUACUGCGGGCCUUGGGACCGGGAGAGGCCGGGGGUACCCCUGGGGUAGGGGUGAAAUCCUAUAAUCCCAGGGGGACCGCCAGUGGCGAAGGCGCCCGGCUGGAACGGGUCCGACGGUGAGGGACGAAGGCCAGGGGAGCGAACCGGAUUAGAUACCCGGGUAGUCCUGGCUGUAAAGGAUGCGGGCUAGGUGUCGGGCGAGCUUCGAGCUCGCCCGGUGCCGGAGGGAAGCCGUUAAGCCCGCCGCCUGGGGAGUACGGCCGCAAGGCUGAAACUUAAAGGAAUUGGCGGGGGAGCAC